UACAGAGGGGGCAAGCGUUGUUCGGAAUUACUGGGCGUAAAGGGCGCGUAGGCGGCCUUCUAAGUCGAACGUGAAAUCCCCGGGCUCAACCCGGGAACUGCGUCCGAUACUGGAAGGCUUGAAUCCGGGAGAGGGAUGCGGAAUUCCAGGUGUAGCGGUGAAAUGCGCAGAUAUCAGGAGGAACACCGGUGGCGAAGGCGGGUCUCUGGGCCGAAACUGACGCUGAGGAGCGAAAGCGUGGGGAGCAAACAGG
rnacentral:rRNA from 1 species